ensembl:lncRNA MIR3976HG MIR3976 host gene
GCACUGCGGAGGCUUUACUGAAGGAAGAACAGGGACAGGGUUUGUCUGGUAUGAUUAGGGACUAGGAUGGUGUACGUGGAACAACUCCUGGUAAGACCAGGGUUGAAGUGAGAAGUGGAAUUGACACAGAGAGCAGGGGCCCGCCCUAUCCAAGAGGCAGCAGAAUGCGGGGACUGACAGCAAACAAGAACACAUCAGUGGAGUAGAAAAGGAAAGUGUAGAAGAGAGGAAAAACAACGUGGAAGUGUUCUGAUGGGACGGAAGAAGAUCGGGCCAAGGAAAGAAGAAUGUUGUGAAGAUGCAAGCAGCCAAUUUGUGCUCCAUAAAAAGUAAAAUUGUAAGCUGCUAUAUGAAGGGAUCCACAAGACGAAUAAUUAAGGGGGACCUCUGAUCAACAGCCAGCAAGGAACUGAAUCCCUCAGACCCACAACUCACAAGAAACUGAAGCUGAAGCAGAUUCUUCCUCAGUCAAGCUUCAGCCUGAGAAUGAUGAAGAUGCUGGAAAACCGGCCCCGUCACACACCAAUGAAGCACGAAUAGCUGUGCCCAUCUCUCAGACAACUGGCUGAUGUCGGCAGCAGGAACUGAACUGAACAAACAGGGAGGAGAGUGACUUUGCUUCUCAUCAAAGGUUACAGAAUGAAGCCUGCAGCUCAGCUUUCCAUGAAGUCAUCUUUAUGGAUUUGGGGUUCUGUGGAACUGAUUAGUAGCUUUAAAUCCCCACUUGGCUUUGUCUUUGUAAGAAGAAAAUACCUAAUUGUGUCUCAGAUUCACAUUAACUUGGUCCAUAUCUAAUUGGAAAAAAUUUUUUGUUAUUCCACAGAAUCAUUGACUGUAAUAAUCCAUAGAUUCACCACAUCUAGGCUAUUAAAACCCACUCUACCAAACUCGGACAGCAUGACAAUUGUAGUUGAUUAAUACUGUGGUGCCAUUCUGAAUAAGCUUCCAAUCUUGUCCUAGUCAAAUUCAUUGCUUGCUACAUGGCUUUCCCGGUUAAUUCUGAAUUCAGCAAAGAGCUCCAAUGGGCUGAUGUUGAGCAGAGGUCAGCGGCUGCCAGAACUGUCAUACUUACUACUGUCUCCAUGAGCCAGACUGGAAAGGUACACAGAGCUGAGAGCUCAGGUAUACCCUGAUCCCACUAUCAGAUCUAACUGGGCUCCCACCAUCACCACCCUAUUGCAGAAAGAAAUCAUGAGUGACCACUCAGCUCAAGGCUUCUCUGCUGAUGCCAUCCAGUGAGUUUCCUGGCAGCCAUCUUUUUAUGAAAGAAUAGAGGUCAGCCUGACUGCACUUCCAGAUGAUUAGAGGUGAAUCCGCAGGAAAUUUAUGGUAGACGGUUAAUGGGAGGUGUUGAUUGUGUGUGUGUGUGAGAACACAGGUUGUAAAUUCUGGCUUUUCUUGCCUGCAGUUGGCUGUAACAGUGUAAUUACAUUAAACCAGUUCCUGGAA